rnacentral:rRNA from 1 species
GGAUGCGAUCAUACCAGCACUAAAGCACCGGAUCCCAUCAGAACUCCAAAGUUAAGCGUGCUUGGGCGAGAGUAGUAAUAGGAUGGGUGACCUCCUGGGAAGUCCUCGUGUUGCAUUCC